CACCGCACUCUCCAAUUGUUCCACCCUCUCCACCAGCCCUGCCAUCAGCCUGCACUGCUGCGAACUCCGCUCAAACAACGCCGCCACCAACCCUUGCAGCCUCUCGCUCUCCGCCAUCACCUUCUUCGCCGCCUCCCCCAUCCCCGAGGCGUCCUUCGAAUCCUUUCUUGGUUCCGCCAUUGCCUGCACCGAAUCCUCGGUCAUGUGCCAUCCUGCAGUCGAUAUCUCGGGUGCUUCCUCUGCCGGGGCCGUCGUUGGUUCCCUCUUCUCUUGCUCCAUUGAAUCAGAAAGUGCUGCUUUGUCCGUAACGACAUCGCCGUCUACGCAUUUUGCUCCCCAGUUGGCCUUCGACAGAGGAGUGCCGGUAGCUUCCUCCACUGUUACCAACACGAAGCCUUCAUCCUUUGCUUCCGGUUCUGGAUCUUGGCUAGCUUGAGAGGCAGAUUCAUGGGCGGCAUUGGAGUCCGGAUCUUGACAUUCUUGAGCCGAGGCUUCUUCGGUGUUGGCGCCAUCGGAAUCGUCCUCCUGAGGCGUCCCCUCCACCUCUUCACGGUUAUCUGGCUGCAUCUCCGCCGAAAUCGGUGGUUCAGAAUCAAUGGGAUCCGACGAUUCAAGGGUCUGGGCCGAGAUCGAAUCCAGGGCCUCCUGGAGCGCGAUCACCCUCCGGAUCGUCUUCUU
rnacentral:lncRNA from 1 species